GACGAACGCUGGCGGCGUGCUUAACACAUGCAAGUCGAACGGAAAGACCCUGCUUUUGUGGGGUGCUCGAGUGGCGAACGGGUGAGUAACACGUGAGUAACCUGUCCUUGACUUUGGGAUAAAUUCAGGAAACUGGGGCUAAUAUACGAUAGGAGCUCCUGCUGCAUGGUGGGGGUUGGUAAGUUUCGGCGGUUGGGGAUGGACUCGCGGCUUAUCCGCUUGUUGGUGAGGUAGUGGCUUACCAAGGCUAUGACGGGUAGCCGGCCUUAGAGGGUGACCGGCGACAUUGGGACUGAGGGACGGCCCAGACUCCUACGGGAGGCAGCAGUGGGGAAUAUUGCGCAAUGGGCGGGAGCCAGAUGCGGCAACGCCGCGUGCGGGAUGACGGCCUUCGGGUUGUAAACCGCUUUCGCCUGUGACGAAGCGUUAUUGACGGUAAUGGGUAAAGAAGCACCGGCUAACUACGUG
rnacentral:rRNA from 1 species